rnacentral:pre_miRNA from 1 species
AGUGACAUUUCUGGGUCAUAGUAUAGACUUAUAUUUAGCUUUAGAAGAUAUUGACAAAUGGUUUUCCAAAUUGACUGAACCAAUUUACACUCCAACCAGAAAU